GUAGCCUUAACUGGACUCUGCUUAGCCCUGGCUCUCCUUUCAGUCUCCUCGACACACAGCCAGAUGAAGAAGAAUCCUUAAAAAUAGCAUAAAUGCCACCAAAUGACAUUCCACCUAGAUUUGAGCCCACUGCCGAGCGGGGGAGACAGACAGGAGCAGAUGGUGUGGCCGUGGGGCCUGCAAUGGGCCUCACUGAGGCCUGAGCUGAGAGAAGGAAACAUCCUGGAGAAGCUGAGACUUCAAGGAAGAGUCGCUUUCCUGGUGAACCCUUGAGGGAGGACCUUCCAGGCAGAGGUGGGGAAACCAGCUUUGCCUUUCUCCUAGCUCUACUGAGCUCCCGUCUUACUUCUACUCUACACCAGGACAGAGUCCACCUGACACUUCUGAAUGACGGGACGUCCUUCAUCUUCUGCUGGAGAUUUAGAGACAGACUUCCAACAAGGAAAGCCAGGCCUCUGGCCAAGGACACCCCUGAACACAGAGCAGAGAGGAGCCGAAACAGGACACUGAAGACAUCCAGGCCGCCCAGACCCACAGACUGCGCCCCGACCCUACCUCCCCUGCAGUUAGUGCAGGAGGAUGAGACAGAGCAAGGUCACCCAUCAGGAUGCUGUCUCUCUAGCGCCCUCUGCCGGGUUCUCAUGAGAAGACCCCCUUGACAGGAGGAGACAAGGGUACCUGUCCAGUGCAUCCCAAGGGAAAGAAGACUAAGACCUAUGGGACAUGCUCAUCAAUAAGGGGAUAAGCAGUGAAUCCUUGAGGGCUGCUCAGGUCUGCAUGAGACAUGCAGAGUCGCAGACCGGAGCCUGAAUCCCAGCUUCCCCAUUAAGCAGUUCCACGAGCUUAGGCCAAUCGCUUCACCUCUCUGGGCUUCAUUUGUCUUACCCAUGAACUAAUCCUUGGUUUGUCCACCUCCUAGAGUCGUUGCAAGGAGCCAGACAGACAGGUGGUGAAGGACAGCGCUGGACAGGUGUGAGACUGCUCUAUGAGGCCAUUCAUCUCAUAAAUAGUUGCUGAGUACCAAAGACGUGCCGGGCGCUAUUCCAGUGCCAGGGAUAUGAACGGAUGAGACAAGGCCUUCCGGUGGAGCAAGCAUCCUGGGUGAUCGCAGAGAGAGAAUAAACAAAUACAUAGCGUCGGCAGUAAAAAGCGCUACACGUAGAGAAACAAAACAGAAUAAGAGAUAGGAAGUGAUGCAAAUGGGACUCAAAAUAGGGCACUCAGGGAAGGCCUUAUGAGGAAGUGACCUUUGGGCGAAGAUCUAAAUAAAGCGAGGGAGUGAAGUGUGCAGAUCUCGGAAGGAAGAAUUUUCGGGCAGAGGGGAAGCGAAGGCCAAGGCCCUGAGACGGGAAGAUCCAAGAGAGGCUUUCAAAGCUUACAGUGGAGGAGAAAUGGCUUGUUUGAGACGAGGAAAGAGGCGGAACAAGGGAAGUAACUUGCCUGAGGUCACAUGGCUUGUCAGUGUCACAGGGCAAGAUUCCAUUCCAGGACUCCCGGAUUCCAGCAUCUCUGCUCCUAACCAGCCAAUCCUUGCUGUCUUCUCCUGCUGGCACCGACUCCGCUAAGAAACAGAAGGUUCAAGAUGGCGACACAGGAAGAUCCUGAACUCGCCUCCCCCACAGACACACUGAAUCUACAGCUGCAUAUGGAGC
rnacentral:lncRNA from 1 species